rnacentral:rRNA from 1 species
UACAGAGGUCUCAAGCGUUUGUUCGGAUUCAUUGGGCGUAAAGGGUGCGUAGGUGGCGCUGUAAGUCGGGUGUGAAAUUUCGGAGCUUAACUCCGAAACUGCAUUCGAUACUGCGGUGCUUGAGGACUGGAGAGGAGACUGGAAUUCAUGGUGUAGCAGUGAAAUGCGUAGAUAUCGAGAGGAACACCUGCGGCGAAGGCGGGUUGCUGGGCUGAUACUGACGCUGAGGCGCGAAAGCCAGGGGAGCGAACGGG